rnacentral:rRNA from 1 species
CAGGCUACGCCGCUGGUAGCUGGGCUGUCGGUAGCUGCUGCUGCCAUGGGAAGCAGAUUCAUGAUUCAGGCAUGGCAGGCCUUUCGAAUCCGGGCGGCGAUGCCACGUGUGCGUAAAUUCUAUCCUGGCGGAUUUGAGAGGGAGAUGAGCAGAAGAGAAGCGGCACUGAUCCUUGGCGUAAGAGAACGUGCUGCACUGGACAAGAUAAAGGAGGCCCACAAGAGGGUGAUGGUAGCCAACCACCCUGAUGGUGGCGGCAGCCAUUACAUUGCUUCCAAGAUAAACGAGGCCAAGGACAUGCUCAUGGGGAAGGGCAAAUCCGGGUCCAUUUUUUAG